ACCAAGCGACGCCGCGUGAGCGAUGAAGGCCUUCGGGUGUAAAGCUCUGUCGAGGGGGAUCAAAGCGCAAGCUUGAGUGAUCCCUGGAGGAAGCACGGGCUAAGUCGUGCCAGCAGCCGCGGUAAGACGAACCGUGCGAACGUUGUUCGGAAUCACUGGGCUUAAAGGGCGCGUAGGCGGCUUGCCAAGUCAGGGGUGAAAUCUUGCGGCUUAACCGUAAUAAGCCUUUGAUACUGGCAGGCUCGAGGGAGGUAGGGGCAUGUGGAACUUCCGGUGGAGCGGUGAAAUGCGUUGAUAUCGGAAGGAACGCCAGUGGCGAAAGCGACGUGCUGGAUCUCUUCUGACGCUGAGGCGCGAAAGCUAGGGUAGCGAACGGGAUUAGAUACCCCGGUAGUCCUAGCCCUAAACGAUGGGUACUAGAUUGCAAGCGUGACAUGCGCCUGCAAUCGAAGCAAAAGUGUUAAGUACCCCGCCUGGGGAGUAUGGUCGCAAGGCUG
rnacentral:rRNA from 1 species